ensembl:snoRNA SNORA70 Small nucleolar RNA SNORA70
AUGCAGUCAAUUAAGUUGACCAGGUAGGUCCCAUUCCUCAUGGGAGCCUGGUGUGCAAUGGUUGCAAACAGCAGGCUCCUAAGAGUGAAUUCACCCUGUUGCCUUAUAUGGGUUGCGAUAAGGGACCUUGGAGACAAUU